CUGUCUGUUUUUCAUCAACUAGGCAUGUCCGCCAUGCGAAAUCUGGGGGCUGCCAUUCCGGUAUUGAAACCAACUGACUAUUUCUGUAAUCUGAUGUCUCUAGUACCUCGAUUACACAAAGCAAUUAGAGAGAUAUUUCGUUAAACAUCUCCAGCUAUUAGAAUGUUUCGAUCUAAAUGUUUAAUAUUGUUUAUUAUAAAAGUAACAUCGAUGUUUACGUCAUAUCAGGGAAUGCUCCGUCUUCGAUUUUACAAUGGACAGAUAAAUUAAUACGCGCCCAGUUUUAGCAGUUCCGACUGAAUUUAACGUCUGUUAUUUCUUUUGCAGAAUGCCUUGUUUCACAAAAAAGAACACUGUUCAGAUAUUUUCUCUGGACUGUCAAUUUCUGCAUUUCAUAAUCAUGUGAUACCUGUGUUGGAGCCCUCCCAAAAACCUCCCCUGUAAGAUUUCAAAGUUAAGGAGAUCAUUCAAAUGACAGAGGUUUUGGUCCAUCUUGGUUUGUCUCAACAGUUAAUCUUUUGGAAAGCAGUGCUGGAGAAAAUAUCAGCAACAUGUGAAGACUGUGAUUUAGUUUCAUAUGAUAUGACUAAAGAAAGUUAAUAUUUUUGAUUCCAUGGUUGUAUGAACAAAUGCUUUGAACUUUCCAAACAUCAUUGAAAAAGAACAUAUGAUGACCAAAUAAAAAUACAUAUUUGAACUUUCCACGAGUUUACAAUAAAGAACAUUUUGGGAUCUUGAUGCAGGAUAUUAUUGUGUUUAGUGUUUUAGUGUUUUAUAUAAUUUAUUCAUAUUGUUUAGUGCAUUAAGGACAUACGCAACGUACCUUACCUACUGAUACUUUUUCGAGAUAUUCUUAAUUUAAGAUUAUAGUGCUAUCAGAUGUUCGUAGACAAAAAAUCAGCAUGCAUUACCUGGGGUUUUGAAAAGAUAUCAAUUGAUGAAAAUUCUUGUAUAAUUCAAAGAAAAAUAUACAAAAAUUACUAAACAUAUAUUCUAGAUGUUUUGUUUAUCCAAACUUGUUUUAGAAGAAGUGUACAAUAACAUAUAUAGACAUUAAAAUUUAGCACACAGUUCCUUUAAGUAUUGGAACUCUUCAACUCCAAGGAAAAAGACAAUAAAGUUCAAACUAUGUUGCGUAUGUCCUUAAAUGCAAAAAAAUGUUUUAAAGUCACUCUUGUGAAACCCAUGCUAAGAACACAGGUCUCAAAUAUCUUAGAGAGUUAUAUUAGAGUUAUAUUGUUAGAAUUGAAGCUUAUUUAUAAAAUUAUACCUUAUAUCUUUAAAGAAAGUUUCACAAAAAAUAGUCAAACUUGCAUAUACUGGUUAACAUGUUAAAAGAAAUAUAAUAUCCUGGAAGUGAUUAAGAAUAAAAAAAAAGUUCAUUUA